GACUAAUAUUUUCCAAGACUUUGUACUCGAUGUUACUAGUAUACAUGAAUGUUUCAUGUAUACUAGUAACAUCGAGUACAAUUAAGUCUUGGAAAAUAUUAGUCC